rnacentral:rRNA from 1 species
GAUGAACGCUGGCGGCGUGCCUAAUACAUGCAAGUCGAGCGAACAGAUGAGGAGCUUGCUCCUCUGACGUUAGCGGCGGACGGGUGAGUAACACGUGGAUAACCUACCUAUAAGACUGGGAUAACUUCGGGAAACCGGAGCUAAUACCGGAUAAUAUAUUGAACCGCAUGGUUCAAUAGUGAAAGACGGUUUUGCUGUCACUUAUAGAGGGAUCCGCGCCGCAUUAGCUAGUUGGUAAGGUAACGGCUUACCAAGGCAACGAUGCGUAGCCGACCUGAGAGGGUGAUCGGCCACACUGGAACUGAGACACGGUCCAGACUCCUACGGGAGGCAACAGUAGGGAAUCUUCCGCAAUGGGCGAAAGCCUGACGGAGCAACGCCGCGUGAGUGAUGAAGGUCUUCGGAUCGUAAAACUCUGUUAUUAGGGAAGAACAAAUGUGUAAGUAACUAUGCACGUCUUGACGGUACCUAAUCAGAAAGCCACGGCUAACUACGUG